AUACUAAAAAAACUUUACUGGCUUAGCACUGGGACCCCUUUUUUAGUAUACCAAUAUUAUAUAAA
rnacentral:rRNA from 1 species